GGAAAAAGAAGUAAAAAUUGGCAAAUCAAUGCUUGUACUAAUAAUGAAAAUAUGUUAGAAGAAAAUAUUAUAUCUGACUCUGAUAAUGAUCAUAAAAUUGGUGAACCAGAAGCAGACAUAGAGUAGAGAUUUGACAAUGAUGAAGAACAAGUAAUACCUAUUAUCUCUCUACUGGAAGAAAAACAAAUUACACCCAUUAAGAUUAAUCUGAGUAUGGCUAUGGAACAAGAACAAGGUGAAGAACCACAACCAAAAUUUUUAUUAAAAUACAAAAGUAAUACCAUAAAGAAUUAUUUUCAAGCAAAAGAUAUUAUUUUAAAAGAUACUUCAAUGUCAAUGUCUACUCACUCUUUUUCAGCUAAAGAAAAAGUUCAAGAAAAAAAUAAAUAUUAUGGACACUACUACAGUUACAGAAGAUAUUAUCAUGUCAAAGAUAAAUAUUAUGGACACUACUACAGUUACAGAAGAGGAUCAACAUCAAGAAGAGAUGCCAUCUGGAUCUGGUGUUGUGGGAUUGAUAAUAAUGGAGAAU